AUUAUUGAAUUUACCGACGGAAGUCGCAACAUCGUGAGGCAUUAUGGGUAACGAGUUCGAGUUUGGGAGAUGAAGAGAUCACUGGCCGUUUAAUGGUGAAAAAUAUGUUUCCGAAUCUUCGCACACGUUUUAUUUCAAAGAGAUUCCGCAUGCCCAAAACAUGCGAUUGACACGAGAUCGGAAUGGGAAUAGUCAUGGUGCUGCUACUUGCAUCUUCACAAACGAGCGCGAAGAGAUAAGGCGAUGUCUUACAUGAUUAUGCAUCUACGAGCACACUUUAUGCCGUGAUUCAUCUCGUACGAAAAAGUGAAUCGACUCGAAAUGAUCUGUUGCCUAAUCGGUGAGGCUCAACAUGAAGCAACCAUGGCGAAGAUUGGUAGCUGCUGGAGGAUGAGGACCUGCGCGACGGAGAAAACGAUGGGAAAAGGCGAACGAGCGAGCGAGCGAAUGAACGA